CGUGUAUGUUUAAUGUUUUAUUUUACAGGAUGUCCCGACCGUUCGGUUGUGUCUCAGGAAACCGAAAUCGAGUAAGAAAGUUCAAUGGAAGCAAGGGACCGUGGAUAACGAGCACAUGAAUAAGAAGAAAUCUAAAUGUUGUUGUAUAUACGAAAAGUCUCGAAGUUUCGACGAAAGUAGUUCCGAAGACAGCGAUGACGACGAAUGCGAACAUUGUCAUGGACACAAAGAUGCCCAUAAAAAGAUUCCUCAGCACAAUCCAGAUAAACCUAUGAAGAUUCGAUAAUUCGUUCAGACGAGCAGGCUUACUUUUGCCGAAUCAAUGUUGUAUAGAAGAAAAGUGUAAAGAAACUAGACACGAGGAUAGAACGAGUGUCCAAGUGGGAGACCCUUUGAGCUUAUACUACUCGAGGCAUGGACACAAGUUCCAUAUACGUCGAAAGUGUAAAUCAGGGGACACCAAAGUGGUCGAGUAUCGUAGUUGUGCUGUGAAAGAAAUGGGAUGUAGCUACCCUGUGGACUACACCUUUAACGCUUGAGAAGGAGAGGCGAUCGAGAAAACUCCUUCAAAGCAUAUUUCUUCCAUCUUUUAUGGGAUACAAAAAUACAUUGGACGCUCGACCUACUCUUUUAUGUCUAUGAGUAAAACUAAUUAUAGUUCCUACGCUCAUACAGCUACCCAAAACGAUUCCCGAUUCGAAGUCGAAAAUCAUUUUUGGUAGCUGUACAGAGCAUAUUAUUACUUGGGAAUGAUCGAGUAGUUUAAAAAAAAAGAUCAAAUUGCAAUUAUGACGAAACUUUACUGAUAUGCAGACAGUUACAAGAACUGUAAUUAUUAAUUAUGUACUGUAUACUUAUUUUACACGUAUUACAAUCUAAGAACAGAUAUGCGUGACAGAA